rnacentral:lncRNA from 1 species
ACUCCCAGGACUAGCGAGCGGCGGGCGCGGACCGGGGCCUGGGGUCGGAGGCGGCGCAGCCAGAAAGGCCCCAGCGGCGCUGAGACGUUUGGGGGAAGGCGGGGGCUUCGCGUUUCGAUGGCGGGAAGCGGAAUGAGGUUGGACCGGCCGGGCCGGCGUUCAGGGACCCGGCGGGAGGCGGAGGGCUGGCGUCCUCGCGGACAUCCAUCUGCAGCGAACCAGGCAGAGGCUUUGGGAUUAGAUCCUUGACUCCUUGCGUCAGUAGUUAAGCUUUGUGAUGGUCUGAGGUCCAUGAAGGGAUUAAAACCAGGAACUGGCUCCUUCUCCAACCACUAAAGCCUCAUCUGGGCCCACAAGCCCUGGCUGUUCCCUGGAGCGUGACUGGAAGAUGUGAGCAGCUUUGUGCUGGAGCCCCAUUUCCAUGGUGCAUGCUGCUGCCAAACCAGAGAUCACUUGUAGACUUGAAAGGGAACAUGAGCUUUGGGUGAAGGAUUCCCAGCCCCCAACAGAGGCCAAAAAGCUACCACCCAGCCAGGCAGAAGGAACAUAAAGUAUGCAUUUUAUGAUACGACUCAGCUUGGAGGGAUGAAGUAGAAGGUCCUCACUGCACCUCAUGGCAGGCUGCUGACGGCAGAUAUUUUACCGGGCUCACUGAACUGGGCAGUCAGGGAAGGGUCGGCUCCUGCUCUGUCCAGCUGUCUUCAUAAGGGACUCUGUGACACUUUUUAUAAAAAUGACUUUGAUUUCUGCAUAAGAAGGCUUCCCAAGCUUGCUGUCUAGCAGUGGCUGCUACAGGGAAUUAUUCACAUGGCAGCAAGAGAGCCCUGGCUCCCUGGACCAGGACAUUCCCUUUGUGUGUGUUGGAAUGAGAGCAGGAGGAGUGCUGGUCAGAAGCCCCUCCCCAGGGCUCUGGGACUUCAGUGUUCUCAGACAAACUGGGCCGCUCCUCUGAGCUGGGAUGCUGACCCACACUUGGCCCCGGCUCUGGCAUCCACAGGACGCUGCCUUAUCCGUCAUCUCGCUGGGGCUGGGGGCUAGAGGCUGAGCAGGUCACACUGAACAAAAGAAGUGUGUCCCCAUCACUAGGCUAACAUCUGAGUUUCUUCCACAGUAUUUGGUAACACAGUCAGAAACAAGACUGAAGAUGAUUCUGGAGGCAACUGGGAACCCCCCAGAACGAUUCUGCAGGCUUCUGGGAAGCUGAAAAACCCCAAGGCCAGACUGGCCUCAGAAUGCCUGAGUCCUUUUGAUUCCACUGGAAAAGCCAUCCAUCUGUGCCAAGUGUGUGGAGAGCUUCAAGAGCCAUAUAGCCCUGGCCACCAUGAGCACAGCCACGUGGGGGAGUAGUCCUGAAAGUGUCCUGGUGUGGCAAAGGCUUUCCACUAAGUGGACCUCAGAUGGCACAGGAAGACCCUCCUGGGGAUGUGGGAGGACACUGCCUAGUGGGUGAGGGGCCGCUCUUUCAGGUGUGCACACUAAAUGCAGAGACAGCCUCUCCUGGCUGCCAAGAAGCCUGUGCAUGAUCCAGGACCACAAAACACUUGCAAACUCACUGCCCAGAGGCCCUGUGCCUGUCUGGAGUGUGCCCAGUGUGUCUGCGCCCCACAGCUUGUCCUGGCCCGCCAGCAGAGCCGCAGCACUGCAGGGCCCUUCUGUUGUGAGUGCCAGGGCCCUUGCUGGCUGCCUGAGCAAGGCAAAAGGUUCAAAACAGGAAGUCUCUGGGCAGCUAUUCCCAGGUGCAGAGGGGAGCAGCGGCCACACAGGUGCCAGUGUGGCAGGAGCUGCAGUCAGAGGCAGCAUCUCAAGAGCCCUGGGAGCAGGGGCCAGCCACGUGAAGCCCACGAGUGUCGCUGGCACAGGGAAGGGACACGAGGAUCACACUGACCCAAGAGAAGGCCCACAGUGAGGAGGCCCCACCGAAGCAUCCCCAGCAACAGGGACUGAGGCAUCUGAGGCAGCCAGCCCACUCGGAAAGGCCUGCUGACUGCACUCCAGAUGUCAAGAGCACCCUUGGGAAAAAGAAAGGCAGGAGUGCAGCACUUUCUAGAGCCUCAGCUCACUUCUCUCCUUCUAGCUCCAGCCGGAGUGAUGGAAGAGGCUGCGCUGGGAGCUGCCUCCCUGGGAGCCUACCCUGCCCAGCCUGAGAGUGGAGGCUACCAGCAUCACGCUUCCCCUAGUGAAAUCCAUCUGUCCUGAAGGGAACCCUGGGACGGGGUCAAGGAAACCCUGUUCACCCCCACCACGGGGUCAGGUCUUCACCAAAGGGAGGCCGCACGGAUUCCCAGUCGCAAACCCAAAGCCUUGCUGCCUUUGCCUCUGUUUCCAUAGUUGUUUCAAUGUCUUUUUUAAAAAUCACAUACACUCGAGUAAGACUGAGUCUCCUCACCGAAGAGAUCUGGCUGUAUCCCGAGUCUCUGAAACCUUUGCUCCAGUCCCGUGGGAGCGUGCCGUCCCGAGGAUGUGGAGCCGCAAGGGCUCGCCAGAGGGAUCUCAGGAGCUAGGCCUCAAGGAGCGCUGUUGAGUGACAGGUCUGAUGCAGUAGCUUUUACUAUUGGUGGAAAUCGAUGUUUUUUCCUUGAAAGUCUACCUUUCUAAGUUCAGUAAACCAAAUUAGAUCAUGUAUGUGAAAGCACUUUGUAAACUAUGCAGUACUCCAGAAAAGGCAGCCAAGCCCUUAAUUAUAACUCACCAAACAGCCAACUCUCAUCUUUACCUUCUAACUGGCAAAAAUGAUUGAGCUCACUUUGAAGGACUAGAGAGGAAAGAAACUGAAAGACAAAAAUCAGGUGAAUACACAGGCACUUCCCCUGCCCACCUCUGUUCCUGGCCCUGUCCCCUCGUGAGUGAGAGCAGAG